rnacentral:lncRNA from 1 species
UUCCUGUCUGUCUAUUCUGUUCCAGUUGUCACUGUGUCGCCUUGCUCUGUGGUAUGACAAUGAAUCCUGACAUCUUUGAGUCUUUCAAAAAUCUCAUUUUCAAGUUACAUGGCAAAUUCAGAUACCACCUACAUAAGGACCAUGAGAAAUGCUCCAAGAAGCAGCAUCCAGUUAAGCUCAUUUUCUACAUUUCUGCUUUGGGGAGAGAAGGCGCUUCUAUCAUCUGGUGAUAGGAUGGGGGCUUCAGAAAGAAGCAGGAAGAGCUCUGCGAAUAUUAGAUGGCUCAGUGCUGAGUUCAGGAAGUCACUGUUGUGUUCUUAAAGAGGCUAUGCCAGAGGACUUUGGAGACCCAGAUGCUUCAUUCAAUGAACUACAAAUGAAAAAAACUAAAGGCAAACCAGAUUUCUUUCAAUGAAGGUUUUUGGUUUUCCGAGAUGAAGACUAAGAGGAGAAUCACAGCCGUCUGCACUCUGCAACCCUUCAUCCACUUCGCCACAGCUCGCCUCUCACGCUGUCUUCCUCCUCGGCUGCAGCACAGCAGAACCAACCUGGGAGGGGAAAUAGAAAGACAGUGGGAAUCGCUGUCACCUCUCCACUGCCCUCAGAGACCAAGAAAGUGGUUAUGCCACGCUGGGUCAGAGACACAGGCCCUGGAUUUCUGUUCUUCUAUGUUAAUUAGAAAGCAGAAUCUUAAGAGCCAAUUUUGACUAAGAACUCUGUGUCCAAUUUUCUCCUGGCCCUGAUUGUGAAGGGCCUGAUCAAUAUUAAAUCUAAUUUACAAUGAUGGCCCCCGUGAAGCUGGCAAAUGUUAUGUCAACACACCGUAAUGACUUGGGCUUCCUGAGCACACUUGUUAGCCGGGGCCGCAUCUGCCGCCACCACUCUCAUACCCGCUCCUGCCUCUCACACCACAUCUGUGAUAACGCCCCCCAAGUUCUCCUGCCUCCGGUCCUGUCAAUCCUUGUUGCCUUAUUGCUGUCUGAUGAACUCCAGAAAAGAAGGAGAACACAAUUAAUUUUUCUCCCACAACUGAUGAACCAAAGAAAGAAAUAAUUGCUACUCAGUUUUAAUAAUGGCAAAUUUUAUGAAAUUUCCAUGAAGACAAUUUGAAAAGGAGUGCGGGGGGAAAUUAUUUCUCUGCAGGAGGCCCAACUGGUUUGCGUUGUUUCCUAAUGUUUAUGUUAUUACAAUUCCAUGUCACUUGCAUUUGCAUCCCCUUGUCUGCAGGGCAAGUUCUUGCAACUAAUUUGUGAGGCAAUGAAUAAAAGACUCAUAAUGGAGUGAGAUCCCAUCCUGAAAGCUUCCAGUCUUUCCUUGUCUCGGGGGAGCAUCUCUAUUGAAGAGAGGUGCUAAGGUUCCAGAGAUGUUUCCGAAAGCCAGGAGACAGAUACCUUUCAUGUCACUCUCCUGCUUGAAACAUUUCUUGUCAGCUACUCAGGAGACUGAGGCAGGAGAAUCACUUGAACCCGGGAGGCAGAGGUUGCAGUGAGCUGAGAUUGUGCCACUGCACUCCAGCCUGGGUGACAGAGUGAGACUCUGUCUCAAAAACAAAAACAAAAACAAAAACAAAAACAAAAAAAC